rnacentral:rRNA from 1 species
UUCCGGUUGAUCCCGCCGGACCCCACUGCUAUCGAGAUGGGACUAAGGUAUGCUAGUCGAACGACCAGAACUAUGUCUGGGAGUGGCACACUGCUCAGUAACACGUAGCUAACCUACCCUUAGGACGUGGAUACCCCCGAGAAAUUGGGGUUAAUCCGCGAUAGAUGUAAUGUCCUGGAAUGGUAUUACGUCUAAAGGUAUUUCAUACAUGUUUGAAAUAUGCCUAAGGAUGGGGCUGCGGCCGAUCAGGCUGUUGGUGAGGUAAUGGCUCACCAAACCUUUGACCGGUACGGGCCAUGAGAGUGGUAGCCCGGAGAUGGACACUGAGACAAGGGUCCAGGCCCUAAGGGGCGCAGCAACCGCGAAACCUCCACAAUGCACUCACGUGCGAUGGGGCUAUCUCGAGUGCCACCUGAUGAAGGUGGCUUUUCCUUGGUCUUCAAAGCCUUGGGAAUAAGAGGGGGGCAAGACUGGUGUCUGCCGCCGCGGUAACACCAGCCCCUCGAGUGGUGGGGAUGAUUAUUUGGCCUAAAGCGUCCGUAGCCGGCCGUGAAAGUCUUCCGUUAAAUCCAGCGUCUCAAGCGUUGGACCGCGGGAGAUACUACAUGGCUAGAGAGUGGGAGAGGUCAGCGGUAUUCUGGGGGUAGGGGCGAAAUCCUUUGAUCCCCGGAGGACCACCAGUGGCGAAGGCUGCUGACUAGAACACGUCUGACGGUCAGGGACGAAAGCUGGGGUAGCGAACCGGAUUAGAUACCCGGGUAGUCCCAGCCGUAAACGAUGCAUGCUAGGUGUUGGGUUGGCCACGAGCCACCCCAGUGCCGCAGGGAAGCCGUUAAGCAUGCCGCCUGGGAAGUACGAUCGCAAGAUUGAAC